GUCCUCGCCUGGGCGGGAGAGAGGGAGCGAGUGGGCGGGGCCGCGUGGCGUCAGCGCAAGAUGGCGGCCUCGGCGGCUCUGUUCUCGCGCUUGCGGAGCGGGCUCCGGGUAGGCGCGCGGGGGCUGUGCACGCGGCUAGCGCCGCCACCUCCCCGCACUCCCGAGCAGGUCACUGAAAUUGCCAACCGUGGGGGCUCCAAGGCCCAGGGGCCACAGCACCAGCCAGGCUCCGAGGGUCCCAGCUAUGCCAAAAAAAUUGCGCUCUGGAUCGCCGGUUUGCUCGGAGCUGGUGGGACUGUCAGCAUCGUCUAUAUUUUUGGAAACAACCCUGUGGAUGAAAAUGGUACCAAGAUUCCUGAUGAAUUCGACAGCGAUCCAAUUCUGGUUCAGCAGUUGCGCCGGACAUACAAAUACUUCAAAGAUUACAGACAGAUGAUCAUCGAGCCCACCAGUCCCUGCCUUCUCCCAGACCCUCUGCGGGAGCCCUACUACCAGCCACCUUAUACACUGGUCCUGGAGCUUACCGGGGUCCUUCUGCACCCAGAGUGGUCGGUGUGUCCUGCAGAAGCUGGCCACUGGCUGGAGGUUUAAGAAGCGUCCAGGCAUCGAGACCUUGUUCCAGCAGCUUGCCCCUCUGUAUGAAAUAGUCAUCUUCACAUCAGAGACUGGCAUGACUGCAUUUCCACUCAUUGAUAGUGUGGACCCUCACGGUUUCAUCUCCUACCGUCUGUUCCGGGACGCCACCAGAUAUAUGGAGGGACAUCAUGUGAAGGACAUCUCCUGUCUGAAUCGGGACCCAGCCCGAGUAGUAGUCGUGGACUGCAAGAAGGAAGCUUUCCGCCUCCAGCCCUUCAACGGUGUUGCCCUGCGGCCCUGGGAUGGCAACUCAGAUGACCGGGUCUUGCUGGACCUGUCUGCCUUCCUCAAGACCAUUGCACUGAACCAAGUGGAGGACGUCCGGACGGUGCUGGAGCACUAUGCUCUAGAGGAUGACCCACUGGAGGCAUUCAAACAGCGGCAGAGCCGGCUUGAGCAGGAGGAGCAGCAGCGCCUGGCCGAGCUCUCCAAGUCCAACAGGCAGGGCCUCUCCUUUGGCUCACUCGCCAGCCGACUGUGGCCUCGCUCCAAGCAGCCCUGACUUCUAGGCUUCCUCAGAGACUUGAUGCCUGAGCCUUGGGCCCCAGCCCUUACACGGCAAAGUGUGGACAGCUAUGUGUCCAAUAAAGCGAGUCCCAGAUGCCACAAUGCCUGUGUCCAGAGUCCAGAUGGGGCACUGGGGUGAGGUCUUGGACUCGGUCGUCAUUCACAGUGACUGAGCACCACCACAGGGCUGGGUGCCAUGAGUGCCUCGUUGGAGUGGGGCUCCUGCCAGCCUGAAACUGAAAACCUGGGUUUCUGCUGCACAUGUCUUCCCAUAUACUCUAUGAGUUGGCAAAGAAAAGCCCCUCUCUCUCUCUCCCUCCCUCUUUCUCUGGCUCUGGACUCCUUGUGUGCUGUAGAAAUAAAGAGAAGUCUGGCCUCUGGGGAGCCGCCUCGAGGGCUGUC